rnacentral:rRNA from 1 species
UACGUAGGGGGCAAGCAUUAUCCGGAUUUACUGGGUGUAAAGGGAGCGUAGACGGCAGCGCAAGUCUGGAGUGAAAUGCCGGGGCCCAACCCCGGAACUGCUUUGGAAACUGUGCAGCUCGAGUGCAGGAGAGGUAAGCGGAAUUCCUAGUGUAGCGGUGAAAUGCGUAGAUAUUAGGAGGAACACCAGUGGCGAAGGCGGCUUACUGGACUGUAACUGACGUUGAGGCUCGAAAGCGUGGGGAGCAAACAGG